UGAGUCAUACCCACUGAGAAUCCGUAUGAACCCUUACGCAUACGGAUUAUCAUAGGCGAGAACAAUGUUGAAAUUGUCAAAAAUCUGUUAGUGUUAGGUGUAAAAGAAAAAGGAUGAUUGCAGGAACCAAACGCCCCUUUUUUCACUUCAACUCUGUUUUGUGUUGCAAAAACAAAGCAAAUAAACCCUAAUUGCGGUGUAAAACCCUAGGAGGAAGUGGGAGAGGAAGGAUGAGACCUUUGGACGAGAAGGAGACGAGCACAGUGUUCGAUCCAUCUUAUGAAAUUACAUUAUCUUCUGUACCUCCUUUGAAGUUGCUUAUCAGAUUCCUUUGGGUUGCAAUUUUCUGUUUUGAGGAGUGGUUAUUUCAAGGGAAAGUAAAGUAAUUAGCGAGGGACUCGUUUUGUCUUUACUUUGUUAUUUUCUAGUUCCAUUUAAAGAUAAAAACAUACAUGAAUUGAAAAGUGGAUAAAAUGAACGAUUUCAUGCUGGCCAUAAGGGCAUCUCAGUUUUACGUGUAUAUGGUUAGCUGUGUUUUAAUGCCAAGUUGGAGAGUCUAUUUUAUACGUUUGGAUGGAUUAUCAUGGGACCUUGCGAUCAUUGUUAUUGUUUUUAUUAACAUUUUUGUAAUUUUCUCGGCCUAGGAGUGUGAAUGAACGGGCAGAAUGUGUUUAAACUUGGCCUUUCCAUGUUGCUGUUAUAUGGUGUUAAGAUAAAAUGAAACUUGUAUUGAGAGAGAAAAUGAUUACUAGAGGUGAUAAGUCUCUGUUUAAGAACCUAUAUAUACCAGAGACUCAGCCAAGAGUUAGUUAUAACUCUCUGAAACUAGGUUGUUACAGUUGGCACUAAACUAUUACAGAAUAGUGAAGGAAUAAUACGCUCACAGAUGGAGAUCAAAUUAUAAUUAUGAUGUUUUUAUCAACGGGGGUUGUUGGGUUUUGCAACAGGGGCUAGUUUCUUGUAAUGUGGUGAAUUAAGGUUUAAAUCUCCUUUAGGAGAGGUGCCCAUUUAAUGUCUGACUGUAUCUAAGAACAUAAUUGCCACCAAAAGAGGAGAACUAAAUAUAAUGUUUUUACUGGCCAUGUGCUGUUUCCAUUCUUUUUGUCAUCUGUUUGUUUCAGCCUUUUACUACUUCAUUCAGUAAAGUGUUAUGCUAAUAAUCAGAUCAAUAUUGCUGCCAGGGUUCCCCAAGAUCUUGUAACGACGGGAGGGAAGUGCAUGCUCUUAAAAUGGGUAACAGGAUUCUUUUUUGCUAUUUGGCAAGCUUACAUCUUAUGCUCACUCCUUCCCCCCCAUUUGGCCAUUCUAUGUCUGUUAAAAUCUGUGUAGUUUCUUUUUUCUAAAACUUUCUCGCAGUCAUACUUGCCAGUUUGAAAAUGAAGACAACUCUUUAAUCUUUAACAAAGGGUUUUAGCUAAGUUGGUUAUUUCCUAUAAAGGAUAUCUUCUUACUCUGCUACUGUAUUGUGUAAAAAUUAUAUGAUAGUUUUACUCCCUCCAUGUUGUGGAAAAAAGUAUAUUGGCCACAAAAUAAUCAUCCUCUUACUCUUUGUGCUAUCAGAAGUUCACCAACCACAAUUGAAUCCCUAAAUGCCUAUUGGAUUGGAUGACAGGCAAGACCAUAUUCAAUUGCCUUGUAUAGAACCACCCCAAAAAGAUUCCACCACAUAUUUGAUCGGGCACUAGAAUUCUAUCCACAACAGAUCAUUCCAGGUUUUAGUUAUCAACUAAAGGCAUGGUGACACAAUGAAAUGUAAAAUGCUCCUUUGAAAGCUAUCUUUGCCAGGUUUUUUGCAUUGAGCAAUUAGAGCUUCUUGAAGUCCAGGAUAGGGUAGAAGACUCUUAUUAAAAAGCAAAUUUGUACCUAAGGACUUUAUGAAGAGAAAUUUAUAGGAUCCAGAUCUGCAAGUUGGUGUCAAAUCUGUACAUUUCCCUAUUGGUUUAUAGCUUGCAGUCCUUGAAUGUUUAACUCAAUGGUUCUUAUUCUGAAUUACUUUACCUUUUUUUUUUAUAUAGAAGUUGUGGUAUCUUUUUUAAUACUUGACUCUAAUACUUAAUUCAAUAAACAAUGUAGUUGUAAAAGAUAAAACAAAAUUGAAUUUUAGGUGCUUUGCAAGCAAGAGACCACUGUAUCCUAUGAUAAUGUUAUUUUAUCAUGUUUUGUACCUUACAUUUCUCCUUGUUUUACUUACCUGAGAGGAUACCUUGAACACCUUGAAAGAAAAGGCAAAAGAGCCUUCAAUGACAAGCCAAAACCAGAGCCAACUACUGAAGUACUUUUUCUUUGCAGCUAUGAUGGCUGUGAAAGACAUUCAUAGAUGCUGGUGCUUUGAGGAAGCAUUCUCACAUCCAUGGAGAGAAACAAUAUGUUUGUCACUACGAGGGAUAUGGAAAGGUGGUGACUUUGUUACUUACAGAUGCGCAAAACUAAGAAAUUUUUGGAUAGCUCAUAGUUGAAAAGACAUUUUCUCAUUCAUACAGGGGAGAAGGAUUUUGUGUGUCCUCAUGAAGGCUGUGGUAAGGUUUUGUUUUUGUUUUCUAUGAUGGCGUCCUUUCCCUAGUUGGUGUUGCAUUUUCUGUUUUUAGUUCUAUAUGGUUUACACGUUAGGAUUUGUGGCUAUUUCUUCCCUUCACGGAGAUUAUCAUCAAUUCAGUCUUUUACUGUCCACUCUGAAUCUGUUUUGGUUGGAAUGGUUUUCUUAUUGGAAAUUCAAAUAACAAGGGAUUUCAAGCAGAGCUUGAGUUCUUGGUGAUGAGACCUAUGUCUACCUAGUCAUUAAAUUGUUGCUAUAGAGGGCAUCCAACGAAUUUGAAAAUUUAUCAAGUUGAAUCAAUAUAUAAGACAAAUGUUGUUAUAUAGGUUACCAUUUUCAUCACGGUACAUAAGAAUAAAUUCAA